GUAGGGAAUAUUGCGCAAUGGACGAAAGUCUGACGCAGCAACGCCGCGUGGAUGAUGAAGCAUUUCGGUGUGUAAAAUCCUGUCGGUGGGGAAGAAACGUCUGGUGAGUAACUGCUCCAGGCUUGACGGUACCCACAGAGGAAGUCCCGGCUAACUCCGUGCCAGCAGCCGCGGUAAUACGGGGGGGACGAGCGUUGUUCGGAUUUACUGGGCGUAAAGGGCGCGUAGGCGGGUCUUCAAGUCGGAUGUGAAAACUAUCAGCUUAACUGGUAGCCUGCAUUUGAUACUGUUGAUCUUGAGUACGGGAGAGGAGAGUGGAAUUCCAGGUGUAGCGGUGAAAUGCGUAGAUAUCUGGAAGAACACCAGUAGCGAAGGCGGCUCUCUGGACCGAUACUGACGCUCAAGCGCGAAGGCUUGGGGAGCAAACAGGAUUAGAAACCCCAGUAGUCC
rnacentral:rRNA from 1 species